rnacentral:rRNA from 1 species
GAUGAACGCUGGCGGCGUGCCUAAUACAUGCAAGUCGAGCGAACGGACGAGAAGCUUGCUUCUCUGAUGUUAGCGGCGGACGUGUGAGUAACACGUGGAUAACCUACCUAUAAGACUGGGAUAACUUCGGGAAACCGGAGCUAAUACCGUAUGAUAUUUUGAACCGCAUGGUUCAAAAGUGAAAUACGGUCUUGCUGUCACUUAUAGAUGGAUCCGCGCUGCAUUAGCUAGUUGGUAAGGUAACGGCUUACCAAGGCAACGAUGCAUAGCCGACCUGAGAGGGUGAUCGGCCACACUGGAACUGAGACACGGUCCAGACUCCUACGGGAGGCAGCAGUAGGGAAUCUUCCGCAAUGGGCGAAAGCCUGCCGGAGCAACGCCGCGUGAGUGAUGAAGGUCUUCGGAUCGUAAACCUCUGUUAUUAGGGAAGAACAUAUGUGUAAGUAACUGUGCACAUCUUGACGGUACCUAAUCAGAAAGCCACGGCUAACUACGUG